GAUUAUUCUGUUUCUGGAAAGCAAUGAGAGCCAGCCAGACAGCCUUCAGUUGUUUGUAAUUUGAUGAACUUCUUAAAUCUUUUCUUCUUUUCUCCCAUGUGAGCACCCCAGCCGAGACCUGAGACAUCUGUUAAAAUUCUGAAUGACUUCAUUUGGAAAGAAAGGCCUGACUGCAGGAAAUGUGACGAAGUCCACCAGAGAAAGCUCUUCAGGACACGACUGUUGAGUUUCAUAGGCAUGUCCAAGCUGUUCGUUUGUUCCAGAAGCUUAAAAUAUUUAUUUGAAUAAGUCUCAUUCUGGCCUUUGCCCAAUUGACUGCUGGAUUUGAGGCUGUGAAAAGACCCAGCAAACUCAUUGCUUCUCUGAUGGAGCAAAAACUUUCCUCUGAGGUUCUGAAUAACUCGAGCAAUUUUUGUUCUUUUUUCUUCAGGAAGAAAGAUCUUCAUACCGACUGUCUAUAAUCAGACCCUGAAACUAUUCUUUGGCUUGGUACCAAUUCCGACUUUACAAAAUGUAUUAACCAACCAUGCCUUAAAGGUCUUAAUAAAGUUGUUCUUUUGAGCCUGCAAUUAAAAGCCAG